rnacentral:rRNA from 1 species
GCGUGAGUGAUGAAGGCCUUAGGGUUGUAAAGCUCUUUUACCAGGGAUGAUAAUGACAGUACCUGGAGAAUAAGCUCCGGCUAACUCCGUGCCAGCAGCCGCGGUAAUACGGAGGGAGCUAGCGUUGUUCGGAAUUACUGGGCGUAAAGCGUACGUAGGCGGCUAUUCAAGUCAGGGGUGAAAGCCUGGAGCUCAACUCCAGAACUGCCCUUGAAACUAGAUAGCUAGAAUCUUGGAGAGGUGAGUGGAAUUCCGAGUGUAGAGGUGAAAUUCGU